rnacentral:misc_RNA from 1 species
AACGGUCUAUACCUGCGGUACCUGCGGAGGGAUCAUUAAUGAUUUUUCGGGGGGAUGUGCUGGCGUGGGGGCAACCCUGUGCAUGUGCACUCUCUCUAAAAUCUUCCACAUUCUCCUGUGCACUUGCCCUGGUAGACAAAAAAUGCUCCAAGUGUUUUGGAACUUGUCUAUCUCAGCUUUUUUCAACAUCUUCAUCACUGAAAAUGUGUUGUAAUUGAUACGAAAUGUGUAAUACAACUU